rnacentral:rRNA from 1 species
UACGUAGGAUGCAAGCGUUGUCCGGAAUUAUUGGGCGUAAAGAGCGCGCAGGCGGCAUGACAAGUCAGAUGUGAAAGAGGCCGGCUUAACCGGCAAGGGUCAUUUGAAACUGUCAGACUAGAGUGCAGCAGAGGAUAGUGGAAUUCCCGGUGUAGUGGUGAAAUGCGUAGAUAUCGGGAGGAACACCAGUGGCGAAGGCGACUAUCUGGGCUGCAACUGACGCUGAGGCGCGAAGGCUAGGGUAGCAAACAGG